GGCGGUUCUCAGGGGACGCACACCAGAAUCGGGCUCCUUCCUUUCUGGAUCUGGGUGCAUCAUCCAAGAACCACA
rfam:Myotis davidii contig7964, whole genome shotgun sequence.